UCUUACGGCCUCGUUUUCCCAGCUCCUGCAGGCGAAGUAAGGAGUUUUUGGCUGCUAACCAGUUGUGUGGAUGACCUGGAAUGUGUCCGAAGAGGCAGUACAGUGUUCCCUCUCGGAGGGUGUCAAGACACGGGAGUGAAGAUUGGCACAUAUGCUACAUCUGUGGUUAGGAAAUUUUCCUGUGCUGCUGACUCGUGAACCUAAUGGCCCUGCAUAAAGGUCCUGCUGUCCACUUGAGGGUGCUGUUGGUCACUUAAUGCCAGUGCUUCUUGGCUGGUAAAGGAUGUCUCUCCCUGCACCGGCUGUCUGGCACAGUUCAGACCACGCUGUCCUUGAUGCUUCCUGAAGCUGGCACUUCAAAGUGAACUGGAUGGUGGUGACUCCAGUCCACAUCACUUGGUCAAGUGCUGAAAAUUGAAGUGGCCUGGCAGCUCAACAACCGCUGGGGUUGGGGCACCUGCAGGUCAGCUGUAGUAGAAUUUCCUGCACUGGGCAGUGGACUCGGCUUGCUUUGACAGCCAGCUGAUCAACACCAGGACGUCGUCAGGAAACGCACAUUCCUCUCCACCGCCACCUCCCCUUAUCUGGGCCAUGGAACUGUCUGGACUGUGGCAUACAGACAUGAGCAAACCAUGAUCAGUCUCCCCAUUCAUCAGAAACCAAUGAAGAACAGUGUUCCUGACUGUAUUGAGGCUUGACAUGCAUUGUGUGGUUGCAUAUUGGUUUGUGGGUUAUGUAACAUGCGGUCUUAAAAUAAAAUAAAAUGGUCCUUUUUGUGAA